UACGUAGGGGGCUAGCGUUGUCCGGAAUCAUUGGGCGUAAAGCGCGCGUAGGCGGCCCGGUAAGUCCGCUGUAAAAGUCAAAGGCUCAACCUUUGAAUGUCAGUGGAUACUGCCGGGCUAGAGUCCGGAAGAGGCGAGUGGAACUCCUGGUGUAGCGGUGGAAUGCGCAGAUAUCAGGAAGAACACCGACGGCGAAGGCAGCUCGCUGGGACGGUACUGACGCUGAGGCGCGAAAGCUAGGGGAGCGAACAGG
rnacentral:rRNA from 1 species